GGCCUUGGUCUAGGAAGAGGCAGAUGGGAUAGCGGAUUCCGGUCCCUUAUCUUUCCACUUCUAUAAAAUGAGAUGGCUAUCCCCCUCAGUGAGUCAUAUGAUGAUAACAUUUAAAUACCUAGCAACAUCCAUAUUAGGAAAACCGUGUGGCCCAGAGUAAGGUUCAGUUUUCUUCUUGGGCCAGAUACCUUCAUGCCAGUCAGCUGCUCAGUGUCCUUUAAGGAGUGUCCAAGGCUGCCUCGCCCUGUCAGGGACGGGAGCACAUUGCAAUUAUUUAAAGCAUUUGUAAAAUACUAGGGCCAUCCUGAGGGUCCUUUUGGGACCUCCUUUCCUGUCUCCUGCUCAACAGAUCAAAGCCCAGCUUCUGCACCACCACCCCUACUGGGAGAGCCUCGGUGUCAGCUCCCCUUCCAGGCCCCAGACUAUGCCUUCUCUGCAUACCAGCACUGGGACCUCUGGAAGCAGACCUCGUCCUUUAUCUGCCUGCAGAUCCUAGCAGGCUGUCCCAAGCUCCCAUGCCCGUCCUUAGGAAUGGCUCUGCUUUGUGGGGGCUGGGUCCUUAGAGGUCACCGGUGGGGAAAUGUUGAAGAAGAGGACAGGCAAGGGCAGGUUGUAUUAGGCCCGGCUACUAAAUGGGCCACACUCCAGGUGGAAAGAGAUGGUAACUCUAAGCACAUUCCUUUUCUGCAUGACCUUCCACCUCUACCCACUCCUACUGUGGACAUUCCCGUCACAUGAAAGAUUGUUCUGACUCCUAGGCCUGGAAUGGAGACCUCAGAGUACAAGGACCAGUCCUGAGCAGUUGAUAACCUGAAGGGUAGAGGGAGAGACAGGGUGACUAAUUGUCUCUGUUUGCACGUAUCUUUUAGUAAAGAGUUCUCUGCUAAGAAUAUACAUUCAUUCUCCUGAAUGCCCCAACAAAGGAGAUGGGGACAGCCAGGUGUCCCUCAGGAGCAACCAUGCAACGUUCUGAAGGAUGCAAGAGCCGGAGGUGAUAGUGUGUCCAGCAGGAGAUGCCCAGUGUGAAGCGAGGGGAGGCGUGCUGCAUUAGAGAGUCCAACAGGUCAGGGAUGCUCGCGUUCACUGAAGCAGAAACUCAUUGCACCACGGCUUAUGCCUGCUGAGCCCCACACCUGUGACGUCAUUCGAUCUCCUCAAGUUUUGAAAUCUGUGGAGGAGUCAGAGCUGGUGCUAUUGGCAUCUCUGCGGAGAUCAAGAAGCGCCUUCCUGAAAAGGAAGAUGGCUCAACCUAAGAAAAGCCCAGACUCUAGGCUCUAGACUCAGGCAGUCCCUGAUUAGGAUGACAGCACACUGGCAAACAUCUUAACCACUGAACCACGGUCGUUUUGGAAUCUGUCAAAGAAGGGAAGAUAAAGCCCGCUGUGGUGGUACAAGCCUGUAAUUCCAACACUCCGGAGCAGGAGGCAGAGGGUCGGAAACUCAAGGUGUUGAGUGUGUCACUUCCUGCACUUGCCCCAUAAAGAUGGAUCCAGGU